CCUCUGUCAUCACAUGGCCCCUUUCCCUGCCUGUCCCCUCCUCUUCUUAUAAAGACGCCCCGGCCUCCCAAACCCAGUAGAUUCCAAUUUAACUCGGUUAGGUUACAUCUGCAAAGACCCUACUUCCAAACAAGGUUACGUUCACUGGUGCCAGCGCUGAGGAUUUGGGCUUAUCCUUCUGGGUGACAAAAUGCAACCCAGGACAGUGCCUCCCACAUCUACUCAUCGUGCGUCUUUGAUGAACCAAUGACGGCAGAGAGAAAGGUGCGCGACCAGGACUCCCAGUUUCUGCAGGAAAAGCCCACCCUCGGUGUUGGCUUGCCACCCAGCAGACUGUAAGUUGCUUAAAGGCAGGAGGUGGAUUGUUGCCCAAAUCACCCAGACACAGAGCCAGGGCCGUGGCCCACACUUGAUGGAUAUUUAUCGCGUGAACGAAUCAAGAGAAGCCCAGUGACAACGGAGGGUGCAGCUGACAGUUUCUGGUGAUGCUAUAAUUGCAUUUGGUUUCAAUACUCCUUUGUGGAAGAGCACAAGGUGGUCCAAAGGGCCCAGUGACCCACCUACCUACCCUGGAAUUCCAACGACGUGUGCAUUUCAUGGGGAGCUAGCCAGAGUCAUGGGAUCAUGAAUCAGGGCCCUUGGAACUCUUCAGAAGUACCAGAGUGCUUGGUAAGCGCUGGUGUUGUGCUAUUUGGGUUUAUAAAUCCUGACUUCUGGUAAGUCUUAAUAAGCCAUGCAGCAGCUCCUGGACAGAGUUCUUAGUUGAAAAGUACAGACCAAAAACCUAUGGCAUUUCACAUCUUUUGCCCAUGAGAACCAAACAGAGACUGGAAUUUUGUGAUUAAUUCAAGGUCCACCAGAAACCUAGGGGGACUGGUUCUCUGGGAGCCAGCAAUGUUUAUUUCAGGGAAAGCUGUGCUUACAGAUUUGGGCAAGGUUAUCCUAGGGAAUCAGGCCAGAAAAGAGCACGUCAGCAUGGUAGGAUGUAGAGAGCUCAAUACCCUAUAAAGCUUGAGGCUCGUGUUUCAUCUUUGGGGAGGGCUUGGGGUGUUCUCUUUGGUAGUUUCCUAGUGUUGGCCCCAACUUUCUCUUGCUAGAAGCCUCCAGAGUGGAAAGACAGGGCCUAACCUCAGCCCCAGGGUUGGACCCUGACUGGCUCAAGUCACAUUAACUAGCCCCAUUCCUCUUAGGAGUGAUUGUAUCAGGUUGAGUGUGUAUCUAAAACUGUCAGAUCUGAGCUAGAACCUCUUGUGACUGCAAGAAUGCCCAGCCUUCGGAUGAAGGGGACACUAGGUAAGGCAGAGUCAGAGAAGGAAAGAGACUGGAUCCUGAUGACAACACUGAACACCUAGAUCAAGCUGCUCCUGAAUCUUUCCUUUCUGCUAUGUGUGUGAUUUUUUAAAAUAGAGGCUGACAGUGAGGUAGGAAACCAUGAAAAGAUAUGCAGAAAACAUCAGGAUAUUGCUAAGCGAUUAAGCAAAUGUGAAAAGGCUGGAUACUGUAUGAGUCCAACUAUUUGUCAUUUUAGAAAAGGCAAAGCUAUGAAGACAGUAAAAGGACCAGUCAUUGACAGGAGGCAGAGGGAAGCAGUAGCAGAGCACAGAGGAUUUUCAGGGCCCUGAAACUAUCUGCAUGACACUGUAGUGGUGGAUACACCUCAUUAUAUAUUUGUUAAAGCCUGUAGGAUAUACGCUGCCAAGUAUGAGCCCUAAUACAAACUACCGGCUUUUAUUAAUAUCAGUUCAUCACUUGCAACAAAUGUACUGCACUAAUGCAAGAGGUUAAUAACAGAGUAAACCGAGGUGGGGUGUAUGGGGGGGGGCAUGGGUACGCGUGGCAUGGAGAACUCUGUACUUCCUGCACAACU